AACAAACAAACUUAGAUUAAAUGAGGAAGGAAGGGAGAAAGGAACAUAUCUGCCAAGUUCUUGGUAAGAGGUGACUUAAUAUCUCUAAGCUACAAACCCCUUAAACAUGGAUUUUAAUCUAAGAGCUGGCAGACUCCCAGUGAAAGCUGUACAGCCUAUCUGGCAAAGCUACAGCUCCUUUUCCAUUUUGACACUUGAUUCUUUCACCCCCUUCGCAUAAUGUAUUUCUUAUGAGGACUUUGCUCCAACAGAUUUGUCCAUUAGAGGGCAUGAGAGGCCACUGAAAUCCUUGAAGUUUGAUUUACCUAAAGGAAAGGAAAAUAGUUCUUUUUAUUUUUGUCUGAUAAAUUGUGGGAGUUUCAUAUUCUUUCUAUGCUAUUUACCUUAUUAACUUGUCUGAAAUGUGCUGGCUAGGUUUCAAAAUAAGAAGAAAUUUUAGACCAUGUAUUUGCUAUAUUAUUCCCUGCCUCCCACUUUCUCCCUGACUGAACUAGCAUCUGUUAAAUAUGAACAGAGCAAGCAAAUGAACUAACUAAAUUAAUGGUAAUCACAGAAUGAUGGAUUAUGCUUUAGAGAGGUUAAGAGAUUCUAUACAAAAUAUUCACACUGGAACUUUUUAUCCCAGAAAGUCUAUUCAGCACAGGGGCAGCACAGAUUUAGGGGGCAUAAUUAAAGCUGUAGCAAAUUAUUUCACAGCAUCUAUUUAUAAAUGCUGCAGUUUGAAGAAAUACAUAUCAAGCAGCUUGAACUGAUGAUGUAUUGCGCUGCCCUCCGAAUACAACAAAAGCUAGUUUGCUGGGUUUCCAAAUAAUGCUGAACAGCACGGAGUCCUCAGAUGCAGUGUUGGAGAGGUGCUGUUAAAUGGAGCUGAAAAUUGAGAGUGAAGCUUACUGUAGAUUACCUCUAGGACACUGAAGUACCAAUAUUACUAUUUGAAAAUCCAUAGAGAAACAUUAGGAAGAGAAAAAUAGGAAGGUAACUUUUAACUCCAUUGAAAUUAAUUAGAAUUGAGGGUGAUCCAUUACCUGGAUGGUAGAUGAUAAAUGCAUAGUUGCUAAAUUUACAGAUAUUUGCUAAGCAACCAGUGAUUCUAUUUUUGCUACUGUCUUUGAAGGCAUUGCUGUAUUUGUCACUGUUUCUGCAAUGCUUUUAUCAAUGGCAAAUUGUGACCUGAUUGGGAACAAUGAUAAGAUCUCAAUCUAAAAUAAUCAUAAACUGCCUAUCUGUUGUCUAUUGGUAAAGUCCUUUAAACCUACUCCAGGGGACUCAAGGAAGCAAAGUGCAGGCCGAUGGUAUCACUUUCCACCAUCUUUUCUUCUGUAUAGAUAAGGUCACUAAAAAAAAAAAGACAGUAGAAAGGAUCUAUCAGACAUGGUGAGG
rnacentral:lncRNA from 1 species